rnacentral:tRNA from 1 species
GGGCACGUAGCUCAGUAGGACAGAGCGUUGGCCUCCGGAGCCAGAGGUCGUGGGUUCGAAUCCCGCCGUGCCCUCCA